GAAAAUAAAGAACGAGAGAGACUGACAGAUAUGACAGAUAUACUUCCUCACUCACCAAUCAGCUACACGUCUCUGCAGCAUUCUGUGCUGUGUGGUGGCGCGCUCCGGGAAACUGAGCUGCAUCACUGCACCUGCUCUCAAGACUGCAUAUCAUCUGGAGACAGGAGUUGCAUGAUAAAUAGCGAGACAGGAAGCAACUUUGAGAACCCUAAACGUAACCAUUUUAAAUGUUAACUUCAAUGGGUAGGGAUGUCCCAAGGACUCCAGAUAGCAAAGACCGUAGAAGAAUGCUCUAUCUCACCUUUGUAUUAACGCCUAACGGGUUUCCGAUAUCGUGUGAUUGACGUCAAUUUGGUCAUAGACAAGGGAAAAGAGAAAGGGGAUGUCAGGAACCGACGCAAUUCAUUUGCAAACAACCUAUUUUCGCCGGUGUCCAGUGGAAGAGACCAAAGAGAAGCAAGCAGGUGCUGAGGGGUGGGAGCUGAUGGAUGACAGAUCAGAGAGGCCAACACACACGCGAAUCCUCCCCAACCCAGAGGACAGAGAGCUGGACCAAACCAGCUGGACCAAACCACAACUGGACCAAACCACGACUGGACCACACCACGACUGGACCACACCACGACUGGACCACACCACGACUGGACCACACCACAACUGGACCACACCACAACUGGACCACACCACGACUGGACCACGCCACGACUGGACCACGCCACAACUGGACCACACCACAACUGGACCACACCACAACUGGACCACACCACGACUGGACCACACCACAACUGGACCAAACCACACCUGAGGCAUAGCAGUAUAGUAGUCAUCUGCAAAGCCACAGGUGGAGGAUGUCCUAAAGGAACUUGGAAUGGGUGUACGAUUUCCAGACCUAAAACAUAUCAUUGUAUCUGAUACAAUAGUCAUCUAAUAGUCCUUUGCAUUUUGUUAUUGAAUGCAAAGGACUAGUACUUUUACUCAUCAGACACAGUGAGGAGAGAUACUUG
rnacentral:lncRNA from 1 species